UAUUCUGCCCAUCCGGGAAGGAUGAGAAACUUCGACUAAGGUUCGAUUCGAGCGUCAGCGAGAAAGCGUUGCCGCAGGCAACGACCCGAAGGGCGAAGCGCGCAGCGCUGAGUCAUCCUUCCCCCACCACCA
rnacentral:sRNA from 2 species